rnacentral:misc_RNA from 1 species
UUGGUUGUACAAUUAUGAUCACCUACAAAAAGAAAUGUCAUCCAACUAAAUAGAUAUCACCAAAGCAUAUUGGUGUCAUAUAAAUCAUUAAUAAUGUGAUCUUCAAAUAAACCAUCACAAAAAAAUUGAAUCACUAUUAUUGAUCAAUUCAAGCUGUAAUAGCAUAAGAAAUAAAGAAUUUCGUAAGAUUAAACGUCAGACUGGCUAAUAUGACAGAUAGUAAUACUUAAUAUGAUCUUGUUAACAGAAUACGGACUGUUUGGCCACAAUUGUCCUCCUUUCUCUAUGGAAGUCGCAAUUUUAUUCCUUAUCAAUGUUUCCCUUCAAAAAAUGGGAAAAGGGUUCUUUCCUUUAGUAUAAAGCAAGAUUUAUGACAAUAAAAACUUAAUUUGAAAAAACAAAAAUUACUACAAUUAAACAAUGAGAAAACACCAACCAAUGAAACACUUCAACCACGCAAUUCCAUAAAAACUAGGCAUUACAAUUAUAUCGCAAAACCAAAUCCAAGAAAAGUACACAAGAAAAUAAAAAGAUCAAACCAGGAAUAUGCACGGAUCAUUCAGAAUACCAGGUCUCCGAGCUAUAAAAUUGACAAAACAGACAGGGAAAGU